CUACCAUGGCAGUCACGGGUAACGGAGAAUUAGGGUUCGAUUCCGGAGAGGGAGCCUGAGAAACGGCUACCACAUCUACGGAAGGCAGCAGGCGCGAAAAUUGCCCAAUCCUGACACGGGGAGGCAGUGACAAGAAAUAACAACUCUAGGUUUUCUUAGAAGUGUAAUGAGGAUAAUUUACAAACCUUACCGAAUGCAAUUGGAGGGCAAGUCUGGUGCCAGCAGCCGCGGUAAUUCCAGCUCCAAUAGCGUAUAUUAAAGUUGUUGCAGUUAAAAAGCUCGUAGUUGAAAAUCUGAUUGCUCAGGUCUCCAGCCUUUAGGCGGGGAUUCUGACAGUCAUCCGCUUGCAAACAUAUGUUCGAUCUUCACCGGUUGGCUAUGUGAGUAAGCACUUUACCUUGAGAAAAACAGAGUGUUCCAGGCAGGUUUGUCCGGAAUGCAUUAGCAUGGAAUAAUAGAACAUGACUGAAGUCUAUUUAUUGGUUAAAGGCUUUAGUAAUGAUUAAUAGGAACAGUCGGGGGCAUUCGUACUCAGCAGUCAGAGGUGAAAUUCUAAGAUUUGCUGAAGACGAACUAAUGCGAAAGCAUUUGCCAAGGAUGUUUUCAUUAAUCAAGAACGAAAGUUAGGGGAUC
rnacentral:rRNA from 1 species